rnacentral:rRNA from 1 species
AGACCUUUAGUUUGAACCCCGAAACCAGGUGAGCUACCCCGAGACAGCCUAUAUUGAUUUAGGGCUAACCCGUCUCUGUGGCAAAAGAGUGGGAAGAGCUCCGGGUAGAAGUGACAGACCUACCGAACCUGGUGAUAGCUGGUUGCCUGAGAAGUGGAUAGAAGUUCAGCCUCGCACACCCCAAGCCAGAGAAUACACCGCUAAGGCACUCAGGGAAAUGUGGGAGAGUUAGUUAAAGGGGGUACAGCCCCUUUAACAAAGGAUACAACCUUUGCAGGAGGAUAAAGAUCAUAAUAUAUAAAACAUGCUGCUCUAGUGGGCCUAAAGGCAGCCACCUAAACAGAAAGCGUUAAAGCUCAGGCAGAAAGAAGUUUAUUAUACCGAUAAAAAAUCUUACUCCCCUAAUUAUAUCAGGCCAACCCAUGCCAACAUGGAAGAGAUUAUGCUAAAAUGAGUAACAAGAAGACCUGCUCUUCUCCCAGCACAAGUGUAAGCCAGAUCGGACUAACCACUGGAACUUAACGAACCCAACCCAAGAGGGUAGUGUGAAUAGUACAGACCCCAAGAAGAACUCACAACUAAACAAUCGUUAACCCCACACUGGAGUGCUAUUAUAAAGGAAAGACUAAAAGAGGGGGAAGGAACUCGGCAAACACAAGCCUCGCCUGUUUACCAAAAACAUCGCCUCCUGCAACUAUAUUGAGUAUAGGAGGUCCAGCCUGCCCAGUGACUACGGGUUCAACGGCCGCGGUAUUUUGACCGUGCAAAGGUAGCGCAAUCACUUGUCUCUUAAAUAGAGACCUGUAUGAAUGGCUAGACGAGGGCUUAACUGUCUCCCCCCUCCAGUCAGUGAAAUUGAUCUAUCCGUGCAGAAGCGGGUAUAAUUAUACAAGACGAGAAGACCCUUUGGAGCUUAAGGUACAAAAUCCAACCACGUUAAACGACCCCCUAAAGGGCAAGAACUUAGUGGCCAAUGAAGUUUUACCUUCGGUUGGGGCGACCACGGAGGAGAAAGAAGCCUCCGAGUGGACUGGGUUAAAACCCAAAGCUAAGAGAUACAUCUCUAAGCCGCAGAACAUCUGACCAAAAGUGAUCCGGCUAAAAAGCCGAUCAACGAACCAAGUUACCCUAGGGAUAACAGCGCAAUCCUCUCCCAGAGUCCAUAUCGACGAGGGGGUUUACGACCUCGAUGUUGGAUCAGGACAUCCUAAUGGUGCAGCCGCUAUUAAGGGU